rnacentral:rRNA from 1 species
CUCGCCGGAAGACCAAGGGUUCCUGUCCAACGUUAAUCGGGGCAGGGUGAGUCGACCCCUAAGGCGAGGCCGAAAGGCGUAGUCGAUGGGAAACAGGUUAAUAUUCCUGUACUUGGUGUUACUGCGAAGGGGGGACGGAGAAGGCUAUGUUGGCCGGGCGACGGUUGUCCCGGUUUAAGCGUGUAGGCUGGUUUUCCAGGCAAAUCCGGAAAAUCAAGGCUGAGGCGUGAUGACGAGGCACUACGGUGCUGAAGCAACAAAUGCCCUGCUUCCAGGAAAAGCCUCUAAGCAUCAGGUAACAUCAAAUCGUACCCCAAACCGACACAGGUGGUCAGGUAGAGAAUACCAAGGCGCUUGAGAGAACUCGGGUGAAGGAACUAGGCAAAAUGGUGCCGUAACUUCGGGAGAAGGCACGCUGAUAUGUAGGUGAAGUCCCUCGCGGAUGGAGCUGAAAUCAGUCGAAGAUACCAGCUGGCUGCAACUGUUUAUUAAAAACACAGCACUGUGCAAACACGAAAGUGGACGUAUACGGUGUGACGCCUGCCCGGUGCCGGAAGGUUAAUUGAUGGGGU